GUAACGGGGUGUUAGGGCACGACACCGGAGAGGGAGCUGAGAAACGGCUACCACAUCCAAGGAUGGCAGCAGGCGCGCAAAUUACCCCAAUCCCGACACGGGGAGGUAGUGACAAUAAAUAACAAUACGGGGCUCUAUAGGAUUUCGUAAUUGGAAUGAGUACAAUUUAAAUCUCUUAACGAUCAACAAUUGGAGGGCAAGUCUGGUGCCAGCAGCCGCGGUAAUUCCAGCUCCAAUAGCGUAUAUUAAAGUUGUUGCAGUUAAAAAGCUCGUAGUUGAAUUUCGGGGUCAGUAGGUCGGUCGUGCCACUGGUAUGAACUGGUUUUACUGAUUCCUCCCUCUUGAAGAACUGUAAUGCCAUUAAUUUGGUGUUGCAGGGAAUCAGGACUGUUACUUUGAAAAAAUUAGAGUGUUUAAAGCAGGCUUUAGCUUGAAUACAUUAGCAUGGAAUAAUGAAAUAGGACGUUUGAUCCUAUUUUGUUGGUUUCUAGGAUUGACGUAAUGAUUAAUAGGGAUAGUUGGGGGCAUUAGUAUUCAAUUGUCAGAGGUGAAAUUCUUGGAUUUAUUGAAGACUAACUACUGCGAAAGCAUUUGCCAAGGAUGUUUUCAUUAAUCAAGAACGAAAGUUAGGGGAUCGAAGACGAUCAGAUACC
rnacentral:rRNA from 1 species